rnacentral:rRNA from 1 species
UACGUAGGGUGCGAGCGUUGUCCGGAAUUAUUGGGCGUAAAGAGCUUGUAGGCGGUUUGUCGCGUCUGCCGUGAAAAUCCGGGGCUCAACCCCGGACUUGCGGUGGGUACGGGCAGACUAGAGUGUGGUAGGGGAGACUGGAAUUCCUGGUGUAGCGGUGAAAUGCGCAGAUAUCAGGAGGAACACCGAUGGCGAAGGCAGGUCUCUGGGCCACUACUGACGCUGAGGAGCGAAAGUGUGGGGAGCGAACAGG